rnacentral:rRNA from 1 species
UGAGGAAUAUUGGUCAAUGGUCGCAAGACUGAACCAGCCAUGCCGCGUGCAGGAAGACGGUCCUAUGGAAUUGUAAACUGCUUUUAUACAGGAAGAAACCCUCCCACGUGUGGGAGCUUGACGGUACUGUAGGAAUAAGGAUCGGCUAACUCCGUGCCAGCAGCCGCGGUAAUACGGAGGAUCCAAGCGUUAUCCGGAAUCAUUGGGUUUAAAGGGUCCGUAGGCGGUCUUAUAAGUCAGUGGUGAAAGCCCAUNGCUCAACGAUGGAACUGCCAUUGAUACUGUAAGACUUGAAUGCUUAGGAAGUAACUAGAAUAUGUAGUGUAGCGGUGAAAAUGCUUAGAUAUUACAUGGAAAUACCAAUUGCGAAGGCAGGUUACUACUAAGUGAUUG